rnacentral:tRNA from 1 species
CAUUAGGUGACUGAAAGUAAGUACUGGUCUCUUAAACCACUUUAUAGUAAUUAACACCUACUCCUAAUGA